rnacentral:rRNA from 1 species
ACGCUCGACACCUACGGGGGGCAGCAGUAGGGAAUCUUCCACAAUGGACGCAAGUCUGAUGGAGCAACGCCGCGUGAGUGAAGAAGGUUUUCGGAUCGUAAAGCUCUGUUGUUGGUGAAGAAGGAUAGAGGUAGUAACUGGCCUUUAUUUGACGGUAAUCAACCAGAAAGUCACGGCUAACUACGUGCCAACAGCCGNGGUAAUCUGAGCGGGCUGGCAAGGC